rfam:Dipodomys ordii contig_53120, whole genome shotgun sequence.
GGAGGUGUGGCUCAGUGGUAGAGCACCUGCCUACCAAGCAGGAAACCCAGAGUUCAAACUGUAAUACUGCCA